UGGACUAAAAAGGAAAUAGGUUCACAUAAAUUGAAACGGAGGGAGUAAUACAUCUUCUGAUGAAAACAUUUUUACAGACAACAUUUUUGUUUCUUACCAAGUGGACCCUAUUCAGUUGAUAUGGUUAUGUCCAUGCUAGUUGAAGUAAAAAUUGCUCAGUUCCGGCUAUAUUCAAUUUCAUUCAUCACGUUUAUCUUUUGCUUCUAGUUGUGGCAUAUUGCCUUUCAGGUUCAUUCAUCACGUGUAUAUUCUGCAUCUAACAACAACAACAACAACAACAACAACAAUAACUACCAAGUAUAGUCCCACAAAGUGGGGCCUGGGGAGGGUAAUACGUACAUAGGCCUUACCCCUACCCGAAAGGGCAGAGAGGCUGUUUCCAAUCAACCCUCGGCUCAGGAAAGAAAAAGAAAAACAAAAACAAAAGAGCAUUAGUAACUCCAGCAGAAAUCACAUAAAUAAUUAUCUAAACAUAAAAUCAUAAAUAAAAUGGCAUGCAAUAAUAUCAACCAGUGACUACGAAACCCCACCCAGCCCGAUAAAGAAGUACGAAAAAUUCUAGAAGCCCUAUCCUACAACCCUGAUACUAGACCUCCGGACUUUCCUAUCAAGUGUCAUGUCCUCGGAAAUUCGCAUUCUAGCCAUGUCCUGCCUAAUCACCUUUCCUCAAUACUUCUUAGGCCUCCCUCUGCCUCGACUAGCCAACCACCGCCGGCCACUCACAACUCCUCACCGGGGCAUCAGGGCUUCGCAGGGUUAUUAGAAGCGCUCUCUUCUCGCUUUUAGCGACGAGGCGAGGCGAGGCGAUAGGGUUACGCUUUUUUGUGAAUAAAGCGACUCACAUGAUUUAAGCACACGCUUUUCUCGCUUAAGCGAGAAGCGACGAAGCGAUAAAAGCGCAAAAAAGCUCGCUUAAGCGACGAGAAGGCUGAAGCUAGGGUUUUUUAAAAACUUUGGGCAAAAUAAACUUACCUGCUCUGUUACCAAAACAUAUCGACAUACUGUUGCUUCUUCUCCAGUCCAGCGAACGACCACUGCUGCUCCAGGUAAGUUUCUUCUUCUUCUUCUGCUCUGUUUCUUCUGUUCUUCUUCUUCUUCUGUUAUUCUUCUUCUAAUCUUCUUCUUCAGUUCUUCUGGUCUUCUUCUCUUCAUGCUCUGUUUUUUGCUUUCUUCUGUUAUUCUUCUUAUUUUCUGUUUUUCUUUCAAUUUUUUUUGUCCAGAUGAAGCUCUGUUCAGCAACGACCACUGCUUUUUGCUUUCUUCUGUUAUUCUUCUUAUUUUCUGAUUUUCUUUCAAUUUUUUUCGUCCAGAUUAAGCUCUGUUCAGACUUCAACAACGAGCUCUGUUUUUAAAGCUAGGGUUUUUUUUCGCAGAGUAAGCUCUGUUCAGACUUUAGCAACGAGCUUUGUUUUUAAAGUUAGGUUUUUUUUAUCCAAACUGUGGUGCUCUGUUUUUUGCAUUUUUUACAUUAUUAUUCUCUGUUUUUAGCUUUCUUAUGACUUUAUGCUCUAUUUUUUGUUUAGGGUAGUGAAUUAAUUAUUAUUAUUUUUUUGGUUGUUGAUUGUAGUAAAUUUAAUUUGAUUAUUCAAUGGCAUCAAGUUCAAGCCAAAAAAGAGAUCCAGCUUGGGCGUAUGGGGCUGCAAUUGACAAGAAUAACUCAAGAGUGCAAUGUAUCUUUUGUCAAAAAAUUUAUAACGGCGGACUACAUCGUCACAAGAGACAUCUAAUCGGUGGUUUUAGAGAUGUCAAAGAAUGUCCAAGUGUUCCGGCUACUGUUAAGAAAGAAAUGAGAGAUUAUGUUGAGAAUAAAAAUGAGUUAAAAAAUCUAGUGAGCCAUGGAGCAUCUAUGAUGAAUCUUCUUGAUGAAGAUACUCAAAUGGAUGACGAUGACGAUGAAGUCAAUGAUAUAAUGAGGCCACCUCUCUCAAAGAAAGAAUUCAACAAGUGGAAGUGGAUCAUCCACCACCGGUAGCAAUGUGAAAGGUCCUCUUAAUCUUUUUUUCUCACAAAAACCAAAUGAAAAGAGAAAGAGUGAAAUUGACUUAGAAUCUUGUAGGAAGAGUUUGAGGGGGCGUGCUGUAGAUGCUUUUGCAAGGUGGUUGUAUGAUGCGGGGUUUCCUUUUAAUUGUGUGAAUUACACCGAUAGUUUUGGGGAAUUCAUUGAGGCCGUUGGCAAAUAUGGCCCGGGAAUGAAGCCCCCUACCUAUCACGAAGUAAGAGUUCCUUGUCUAAAAAAGGAGGUGGAGAAGAUAGACAAGAUUAUCGAGGAGCAUAAGGCACAAUGGAAAGUUUAUGGUUGUUCCAUUAUGAUAGACAAAUGGACCGCAAAAAAUGGAAAAAUGGUCAUUAAUGUUUUGGUGAAUUCUCGAGAGGUAGUGUGUUUCUUGAAUCUUAUGAUGCUAGUGACUCCUCAACCGAUUCCAAUAAAAUGUUCAACUUGUUUGAGAAGACAAUAUUAAAAGUUGGACCGGAAAAUGUGGUUCAAGUUGUUACUGAUAAUGCAAGUGAGAAUAAAAAGUCGGGUGACAUGUUGAAAGGAGUUUUCCAAGUAUUUAUUGGACUCCUUGUGCUGAACAUUGUAUCAACUUGAUCUUUGGUGACAUUUUCAAGUUAGCCCCAUAUUCUACAGGUGAACAUGUGGUUCUUAUUUUCUAUUUUAAGUUUUUAACCUUCAUGUUAAAUAUUUCAUACUUAUUAACUAUGAAAUUUGACUUCCUAAAGUUUUUGCUAAGAUGGUCAAGAUAUAUUCUUACAUUAGUCAAAAGCCGUUGUUGUUGAACAUGACUAGGAGAUAUACAAAAGAAAGAAAUUUGGUGAAACCAGCCAAGACAAGAUUCGCAACAACUCUCUUGACCUUGCAAAGCUUUUACGUGCAAAAGCAAAAUUUGCGAACCAUGUUCUUGUCAACUGAAUGGAGUGAGAGUAACUAUGAAAAAAGUGAGAAGCGGGAAAAGCGGAAGAAGCGAUCACUUCUUGGAAUAGACUACCCAAAUGCGUCUUUUUCAAUUAAAAGACCCAAAAUUGAAUGAGUCUGUUUUAAUCAUUCUUCAGCAGCAACCUAGGGCUUUAAAUCAGCCAUUUCUUCCUAAAAAAACCAAUGAUUUCAAGAUUCAACAGGUAUGUUUUUAUUUUCAAUCUUCUUCUUUUUCUUUUUAUUUCUAAACGUCCAAAAAGCGUCGAAAUGUUGGCGAAUUUUUUUCAGCCCAGAAAUUUUUUCCCUAGUUGAUGAAAAAGAUGAAUAUGAAGA
rnacentral:lncRNA from 1 species